GAAAAAAUAACAAAAAUUGUAAUUUCUUGGAUCCUCCAAGGGGAGACAGGAUAAACUCCGAUGUAGAAAUAAAAAUCUCCCAAUUUUUAUCUCUACGAAGGCUUUCGCUUUACUCUUCUGUCUUUCGAUCUGAAAACAACAAGAAACGUGCUAAAAACCAUAGAAGAGUUCAAUAAUUCAUUGAAUUCAAGGAGAAUGAAUUUUGUGAUGUUAUGAAACCAUACAGGUGAUGGUUAUGAAUGUCGUGACUGAAGAUAUUGAGGAUCUGCGAAAACUUCUCUAUUUGCAUGUCUUCUCCUUUUCCUAUGUGGGCUCUUUAGCCCUCUAACACUCUCAGUAUUGGUAUUUGAUUGUGUAAAUUGCAUUUUCUUGUAGAGUAUAAGGCACUAUUAUAUUGUUUAUCUGAUCAGUACGAUUGGAAAAUUGCCCUUGUGAGAAAAGACAUCCACUUGCGCAUGUUGAAGUCUUUGAGAUUUAGCACUAUCUUCUAAUAUUGUACUUCAUCAAUAUUUAAAAAGCAAGAACUGUUUUCAGUUG